rnacentral:rRNA from 1 species
AUGCUCUGCCACCAGAUUGUUGUCCUGCCACUCAAGGGGUUGCCCUCGGCAUUAUCACCUCCACCUAGGGGUUGGUACCCCAUGUCACCUUUGUAUAGCACGGUGUCAACAUUGGCUGGAGGAUGUGACUCGUCACCCUAUAGCCCUGCCCCUAGAGCCACCAUACUGCAUCUUACCGUGGAAGGGUUGAAUCUGGGUGUAUCCAACACAUCCAUCCUCCAAUCCAGCAAAGAGCAAUUGUACCCACAAAGACAUCUCUUGCGGUUCUUGUCUGGCUUCAACUUUCACAUUGAAAUAAAAGAUGGCAUGUCCUUUGGAGGCUAA